rnacentral:ncRNA from 1 species
UAAGUGUCGCAUGGUCAGUUACACUAACUGGCUCAGUGCGUCUCUACCCUACGCCAACAGCUGUGGGUAACCCAUUGAACCCCAUUUGUGAUGGGGAUCAGGGAUUGCAAUUAUUCCCCAUGAACAAAGAAUUUCCAGUAAGUGCAUGUCAUAAGCUCGCAUUAAGU